AUGAGAGGAGAGUGCGGCUGGAAGCAGCAAGAAACUCUGAAGCCCUGUAGGGUAAGGACAACGGAGCAGUGUGAUGGUGAUCUUCAGUAGGGGAGGGGCAGCG